CCAAAACUCAGACAAGCAAAUUGGAGAAGGGGUUUAGGCUGUAUGCUUCGACCUACAUUCACAGCUACGAAGUGUCCAAUAAAGACAAGCUGACAGUGCAGAUCAAGCUUUGUGAUUCAUCAGCCAAGGGAUGAUAAAAAGAAAGAGUUAAUCUAUGGGCUGGAGCAGCUGUCUCUGAGAGGAAAAGAAAAAAAGUAUAGCUCAAAAACAACAAAUACAAAUGCAAUGGCAUCAGUAUAAUUACAUCUGUAACUACUUAUAAAGUACUGUUGAUGCACGUGCAGGUGCGACCACUUCUUUUUUCUGGGCAGCUGAUUUGGCUCGGGAAACACGGACCAUCUUGUAGAGACAAGGCUCAAUCAAAGACCA
ensembl:lncRNA